GAAGCCACUUCGGUGGCAGGAAGACAGGUGGUGCAUGGUUGUCGUCAGCUCGUGUCGUGAGAUGUUGGGUUAAGUCCCGCAACGAGCGCAACCCUUAUUGUUAGUUGCUACCAUUUAGUUGAGCACUCUAGCGAGACUGCCCGGGUUAACCGGGAGGAAGGUGGGGAUGACGUCAAAUCAUCAUGCCCCUUAUGUCUAGGGCUACACACGUGCUACAAUGGUCGGUACAAUGAGAUGCAACCUCGCGAGAGUGAGCAAAACUAUAAAACCGAUCUCAGUUCGGAUUGUAGGCUGAAACUCGCCUACAUGAAGCUGGAGUUGCUAGUAAUCGCGAAUCAGAAUGUCGCGGUGAAUACGUUCCCGGGCCUUGUACACACCGCCCGUCACACCAUGAGAGUUGGCAAUACCCAAAGUUCGUGAGCUAACGCGUAAGCGAGGCAGCGACCUAAGGUAGGGUCAGCGAUUGGGGUGAAGUCGUAACAAGGUAGCCGUAGGAGAACCUGC
rnacentral:rRNA from 1 species